UGGCGGACGGGUGAGUAACGCGUGGGUAACCUGCCUCAUACAGGGGGAUAACAGUUAGAAAUGACUGCUAAUACCGCAUAAGACCACAGCACCGCAUGGUGCAGGGGUAAAAACUCCGGUGGUAUGAGAUGGACCCGCGUCUGAUUAGGUAGUUGGUGGGGUAACGGCCUACCAAGCCGACGAUCAGUAGCCGACCUGAGAGGGUGACCAGCCACAUUGGGACUGAGACACGGCCCAA
rnacentral:rRNA from 1 species